CAGAUGGUCAGCAUAGACGUCCUCAGUGGCUGCUCUACCCUUGCAUCUCGUGACUGCAGGAUGGCCUGCUCCGGCCUCCCUCCCCACCCCUCCAUAGCACCGCCUUGCACAUAACCAAGAGGGUAAGACCAGUGGGGGUUCCCUGAUUGCUGGCACAACUGUGGGGGGAAGGAGACCGUGACACUGAGCUGAGAGAAGCUUGGGCAGAGGGUGCAGGAAGAAAGAUGCUGGGGACCUUGGUGGCAAAUCUCAUAAAUGUGAAACCACGUGAAUGAAUGGCUUCCCUUCAUCUCUAAGAUGAAGCAGGAGUUCCAGAAUUCCAGCUGGGACAUCGAAUUCUGAGGGUUGCAAGGCCAAAAGCUCACCAAAGCAAGAAGCCCUCCUGUAUUCCAUAACCACCGCUGCAGAGUGACCUUGGCUCCACACCUGGACAGUGGACUGGCACCCUCUGUGUCGUUCCUGUUGGUUUCACUCAUGGUAUCUCUGUGGCCUCUUGGGUGGUUCAGGUUUAGCACUCGGGUCCACAGGACACUCCUCCCCAUUUCGUGGUCGAUCGAGCACGUUAGAAAGCCAUUCCUUUGGCCUUUAGCAAAGCGAGUCAUCCUCUGUGGCGUCACUGUUUCCAUGGGAAAACCAGUCAGUGUACAGAUCCCACUCAAGCCAUCUUCCCCUAGAAUGCAGGCCACUUGUUAUUAAUGUCCUUCCUCAAGGAGCACCGGUGGGUGAUAGUUCAGCAUGAGAAGUUUUAAGUCUGCAAGGUGCCCACACCUGGGCUGGACAAGCUGAGGCAUGCUGCCCCCUGUAGAGUCAGAAACACCUACAACUCACCAAGCCCUCCCCUUGCCCUUCAAACUCCCUGAUAAAAACUCUUUCCCCUUCCUCGCCCCUCCUCUUGGUACCAGAGAUUAAACCCAUGGAUGCUUAGCCACCGAGACACAUGC
rnacentral:lncRNA from 1 species